rnacentral:rRNA from 1 species
CAGUAGCCGCGGUAAAACGAGGGGGGCAAGCGUUGUUCGGAAUUAUUGGGCGUAAAGGGUGCGUAGGCGGCCCCGCAAGUCUCAUGUGAAAUCUUCAGGCUCAACUUGAAGUCUGCAUGGGAAACUGCGGGGCUGGAGUAUGGGAGAGGUGAGUGGAAUUCCUGGUGUAGCGGUGAAAUGCGUAGAUAUCGGAAGGAGCACCUGUGGCGAAAGCGGCUCACUGGACCAUUACUGACGCUGAGGCGCGAAAGCUAGGGGAGCAAACAGGAUUAGAUACCCCGGUAGUCCCUGUCUCUUAUAC